UUGACAUACCUGUCGCGGAUCCAGAGAUGGAUCUUUCAGUUAGGCUGGACAGGAUACAGGUGCUGCAUGGCUGUCGUCAGCUCGUGUCGUGAGAUGUUCGGUUAAGUCCGGCAACGAGCGCAACCCUCGCCUUUAGUUGCCAGCAUUCAGUUGGGCACUCUAGAGGAACCGCCGGUGAUAAGCCGGAGGAAGGUGGGGAUGACGUCAAGUCCUCAUGGCCCUUACAGGAUGGGCUACACACGUGCUACAAUGGUAGUGACAAUGGGUUAAUCCCAAAAAACUAUCUCAGUUCGGAUUGGGGUCUGCAACUCGACCCCAUGAAGUUGGAAUCGCUAGUAAUCGCGUAACAGCAUGACGCGGUGAAUACGUUCCCGGGCCUCGUACACACCGCCCGUCACACCAUGGGAAUUGGUUCUACCCGAAGGUGGUGCGCCAACCGGCUUGUCCGGAGGCAGCCAACCACGGUAGGAUCAGUGACUGGGGUG
rnacentral:rRNA from 1 species